GACGAACGCUGGCGGCGUGCCUAAUACAUGCAAGUAGAACGCUGAAGGAGGAGCUUGCUCUUCUGGAUGAGUUGCGAACGGGUGAGUAACGCGUAGGUAACCUGCCUGGUAGUGGGGGAUAACUAUUGGAAACGAUAGCUAAUACCGCAUAAUAACAGUUGUUGCAUGACAACUGUUUGAAAGGUGCAAUUGCAUCACUACCAGAUGGACCUGCGUUGUAUUAGCUAGUUGGUGGGGUAACGGCUCACCAAGGCGACGAUACAUAGCCGACCUGAGAGGGUGAUCGGCCACACUGGGACUGAGACACGGCCCAGACUCCUACGGGAGGCAGCAGUAGGGAAUCUUCGGCAAUGGACGGAAGUCUGACCGAGCAACGCCGCGUGAGUGAAGAAGGUUUUCGGAUCGUAAAGCUCUGUUGUAAGAGAAGAACGAGUGUGAGAGUGGAAAGUUCACACUGUGACGGUAUCUUACCAGAAAGGGACGGCUAACUACGUGCCAGCAGCCGCGGUAAUACGUAGGUCCCGAGCGUUGUCCGGAUUUAUUGGGCGUAAAGCGAGCGCAGGCGGUUAGAUAAGUCUGAAGUUAAAGGCUGUGGCUUAACCAUAGUACGCUUUGGAAACUGUUUAACUUGAGUGCAAGAGGGGAGAGUGGAAUUCCAUGUGUAGCGGUGAAAUGCGUAGAUAUAUGGAGGAACACCGGUGGCGAAAGCGGCUCUCUGGCUUGUAACUGACGCUGAGGCUCGAAAGCGUGGGGAGCAAACAGG
rnacentral:rRNA from 1 species